AGAUCCGAGGCCAUUCAAACACAGAAACAAUCCGUCUUACAACUCUAUGGUGCAAAAUAUCAUCAUCAACUACUGCAGCGUGACAUCUAAAGAUAUCUCUAUGAGGUAUUUGUAUCCAAGAGCAAAUCUUCAGGCUGUGUCCAUGAUGCAUGACUAUGGUCAUUUGCCACUUACAGAACAAAUGGUUGAUAAUGCUUUGAUGGUUGAUGAACGAAAAAUUCACCAGAUAGAAGCAUCAACAAGAGGACAGAGCAAAAACACCAAAUGAUUUAAGGCGAGGGAGUGGAGACUGACUGCAUCGCGAUUUGGUGAAGUAUGCAGAGCUACUUGUCGACGCAAUACCAGUAAAUUAUGUAGUUCCAUUUUGUGUUCAAAUAUCAAAACCAAAGCCAUUUUACAUGGAAAAAAUUAUGAAAAAAAAGCUUUGAAAUUGUUUGAAAACAAGUUUGGCAUAAAAACUACAGAAUGUGGGCUUUUUGUCUGUUUAGACUACCCAUGUCUGGAAGC